UAAAGUGCGAUAUCUAAUGUGAUUUGCAUGAAUCUGUGAGUCAUCUAGUCUUUGAACGCAACUUGCACCUCCCGGGAAACUGGGGGGUAUGUCUGUUUGAGAACCGCGCGCAUAACUUGCUCCCCGCACCGCGGUGGGCAGAGCUGGGACAGUGCGAGUGUCCUGAAAGGCAGCAAGCAAGCGGACCGGCGGCGGCGGGCUACGUGCUAGGACCAGACAGGUCUUGUCGUAGCGUGCCGGCGGUGGUUUGCGCACGCCGUCUACCCUGCGGGGUGGAUGGGCGGGCAAUGAAAGAGCGCAGUGCAGUGUAGUAUUUUACUGUGCUUUACUGUGCUUUACUGUACUGUGCUGUGCUCUUUUACUUGGCUGGUCUCAAAUCAGGCAGGAUUACCCGCUGAAC
rnacentral:misc_RNA from 1 species